rnacentral:rRNA from 1 species
UACGGGGGGAGCAAGCGUUGUUCGGAUUUACUGGGCGUAAAGGGCGCGUAGGCGGCCACCGCAAGUCAAUUGUGAAAUCUCCGGGCUUAACUCGGAAAGGUCAACUGAUACUGCGGGGCUAGAGUGCGGAAGGGGCAACUGGAAUUCUCGGUGUAGCGGUGAAAUGCGUAGAUAUCGAGAGGAACACCUGCGGCGAAGGCGGGUUGCUGGGCCGACACUGACGCUGAGGCGCGAAAGCCAGGGGGAGCGAACGGG